rnacentral:misc_RNA from 1 species
UCUCCGUAGGUGAACCUGCGGAGGGAUCAUUACAGAGUUCAUGCCCUACCGGGUAGGUCUCCCACCCUAUGUUAUUAUUACUUUGUUGCUUUGGCGUGCCGUUAGGCUCCGGCCCGACUACCGGCCCCGGCUGGUAAGCGCCCGCCAGAGGACCCAAUAUCCUGAAUAUUAGUGUCGUCUGAGUACUAUAUAAUAGUUAAAACUUUCAACAACGGAUCUCUUGGUUCUG